rnacentral:rRNA from 1 species
CCAGCACCCGCGGUAAUUCCAGCUCCAAUAGCGUAUAUUAAAGUUGUUGCAGUUAAAAAGCUCGUAGUUGGAUUUGUGGUGUGUCCUGUCGGUCCGCUGGUUCAACCGGUGUGUCUGUACGGGUCUGCCUUUCAUGGGACUGUUGGCUCUGUGGCAUUAGGUUGUCGCGUUGUCGAUGCCCAUCUUUUACUGUGAAAAAAUUAGAGUGUUCAAAGCAGGCUUAUGCCGUUGAAUAUAUUAGCAUGGAAUAAUGAUAUAGGACCUUGGUACUAUUUUGUUGGUUUGCGCACUGAGGUAAUGAUUAAUAGGGACAGUUGGGGGUAUUCGUAUUCCAUUGUCAGAGGUGAAAUUCUUGGAUUUUUGGAAGACGAACUACUGCGAAAGCAUUUACCAAGGAUGUUUUCAUUAAUCAAGAACGAAAGU